rnacentral:lncRNA from 1 species
CUGUAAGUAAGUGCCAGGCACAUUGGUAAGGUCAGAGGUGUGCAAAUGAUUACAUCAUUUCUUAUUACUAGCAUCCUAGGAUAGAGAGAGGUCUGUGCUCAGGCAGUGGACAUGGAUUCUAACUGUUACUAUGCUGCUUGAUAUCACAGAACCCUGGGCCACUGAAUUCAUCCUCAGGUUCUUAGGUUCCUUAUCUGUUACAUUAGAAGGUCAGGCUAAAUCAGGAGUGGCAAGCAAUUAGCAUGGCCCCCAUUCUCCAAACUCACACUCUUGGUAGAUAUUUCUAACGCAUCACGGCUCUCUUUCUGCUGAGAUGAGAUCUACCAAUUGGAGUUGGCACCCUAGAAGAAAGGUAUUUGUCAUUACAGAUCACAGAGUACUUGGAGAGGCAUAAUAGACUAUUAGAAAGAGCAUAGGCCUUGGAGACAGGCAAACCUGGAUUAAAAUUUUCAGUGCCAUUUACUGAGCUGUGUAAAUUCAGACAAAUGAAUUAACCUCUCUGAGCUUCAGUUCUUUCAUCUGUAAAACAGAUACGAUUCUUCCUACCUCAGCAGUUUGAAUGUCGCCUCCAAAAUUCAGGUGUUGCAAUUUUGCUAGUAUUAACAGGUGCAUUUAAUUACACUCAGAUUAAAAAAGGUAUUAAGAAGUGGGGCCUGUAAGAGGUGAUUAGGCCAUGAGGGACACCUUCUUCUUUAAUGGGACUAAAUCCCUUAUUAAGGAGGCUUCACAAAGCAUUUGGCUAGCUUGCGCUUCUGCUUUCUGCCAUGUAAGGUCCUAUCAAGAAGGCCCUCACCAGACCAAGUGCCGGCACCUCGAUCUUGAACUUCAUAGCUUCCAGAACUGGCUCAUGUGGUUACGCUGGAGCUGCCCAGAUAAUCCUAGAGAUGAAUGGGUUUCUUCUUUGGAGAAAAGCCAAACCCACCUCCAAAUCCCAAGAAGACUUGUAAUUUCUAUAUAUUUAGACUCUGCUGAUUGUUUAUUUGCUUCUCCAGUCAAUUUGUAUCAGGUGCAGUUGCUGUGUUGA